UACGGAGGGUGCAAGCGUUGUCCGGAAUCACUGGGCGUAAAGGGCGCGUAGGCGGCUCAUGAAGGCUGUGGUGAAAGUCCGGGGCUCAACCUCGGAUCGGCCGUGGCGACUCGUGGGCUGGAGCACUGUAGAGGCGGGUGGAAUUCCGGGUGUAGCGGUGGAAUGCGUAGAGAUCCGGAAGAACACCAGUGGCGAAGGCGCCCGUUGGGCAGUGGCUGACGCUGAGGCGCGAACAGCGUGGGGGAGCAAAACAGG
rnacentral:rRNA from 1 species